UUUAGGAAUCAACAUGCUCUGAUGCUAAUCGCUUUAGCCUCCCCACACAGCCAUGAGUCCUGUAUUAGCUCUUCAGUCUGUUGAAGCCCAAGAACAUGGUGGACAUCUUGGUGCUUCAGUACUUCGCUGAAUCUCAGGCUUCAGACAGGAUUAAUAGGAGCUCAUGAGGGCCCUGGUGGCUUAGUGGUAGGUUUCUCACUUACUAUGUGGAAGGCCCGGUUUGAUUUCCAGCCACUGGUUGUAGUGCUGGUCCCAAGCACAGAAAAUGGUCAGCAAUCAACAAUGGGACCUCAUGGGCACCUGAGCAUUAUUACUGCAGAUGAGUCGUCUAUGGUGGAGAUGAGGAGAACCAAAACCUGACUUGCACAACUGAAGACCACCUAAAGCGAUUCUGCUUGAGUGUCUGCAAUGAUCCACUUGGUGUUUUCCUGAAUAAAAUCUUCUGUUUGAAA